rnacentral:rRNA from 1 species
GUGUCAGCAGCCGCGGUAAUACGGAGGGAGCUAGCGUUGUUCGGAAUUACUGGGCGUAAAGCGCACGUAGGCGGCCAUUCAAGUCAGAGGUGAAAGCCCAGGGCUCAACCCUGGAACUGCCUUUGAAACUAGAUGGCUAGAAUCCUGGAGAGGCGAGUGGAAUUCCGAGUGUAGAGGUGAAAUUCGUAGAUAUUCGGAAGAACACCAGUGGCGAAGGCGACUCGCUGGACAGGUAUUGACGCUGAGGUGCGAAAGCGUGGGGAGCAAACAGGAUUAGAUACCCGCGUAGUCC